rnacentral:lncRNA from 1 species
AUGCACAAACAGUCCAGGAGGUUCCUGCAGAGCACUGAUGAUAACUUUUUGACACAGGUGGUGGAGAAGCCAACAAGGAGAGGUGUGCUGCUGGACCUUGUACUAACAAACAAAGAAGGACUGGCUGGAGACGUGAAGAUUGGGGGCAGCCUUGGCUGCAGUGACCAUGAGAUGGUGGAGUUUGGGAUCCUGAGAGGAGGAAGCAGGGCACCAAGUAGGAUCGCAACCCUGGACUUCAGGAGAGAACACUUUGGCCUCUUCAGGGAACUACUUGGAGGAAUCCCAUGGGUUAGGGCCCUAGAAGGAAGGGGGGUCCAAGAGAACCGGUUAAUAUUCAAGCAUCACUUCCUCCAAGCUCAAGUUCGGUGCAUCCUUCUGAGUAAGAAGUCAAGCAAAGGAGGGAGGAGACCUGCAUGGAUGAGCAAGGAGCUCCUGGCAAAACUCAACCAGAAGAAGGAAGUACACAGAAAGUGGAAAGGGGGACAGGCCGCCUGGGAGGAAUAUAGGAACGUUGUCAGAGUAUGCAGAGAUGCAAUGAGGAAGGCUAAGGCCCGUUUGGAAUUAAAUCUGGCAAGAGAUGUCAAGGACAGCAAGAAGGGCUUCUUCAAAUACAUCAGUAGCAAGAGGAAGACUAGGGAAAAUGUGGGCCCWUUGCUGAAUGGGGUGGGUGCCCUGGUGACGAAGGAUGCAGAGAAGGCAGAGUUACYGAAUGCCUUCUUUGCUUCAGUCUUUACUGCUCAGGCCAGCCCUCAGGAACCCCAGACCCUGGAGGCAAGAGAGAAAGUCUGGAGAAAGGAAGACUUUCCCUUGGUGGAGGAGGAUUGGGUUAGAGAUCAUUUAAGCAAACCCGACACCCACAGAUCCAUGGGCCCCGAUGGGAUGCACCCACGAGUGCUGAGGGAGCUGGCGGAUGUUAUUGCUAGGCCACUCUCCAUCACCUUUGAAAGGUCAUGGAGAACAGGAGAGGUGCCUGAAGACUGGAAGAAAGCCAAUGUCACCCCAGUCUUCMAA